GAUGAACGCUGGCGGCGUGCCUAAUACAUGCAAGUCGAGCGAACGGACGAGAAGCUUGCUUCUCUGAUGUUAGCGGCGGACGGGUGAGUAACACGUGGAUAACCUACCUAUAAGACUGGGAUAACUUCGGGAAACCGGAGCUAAUACCGGAUGAUAUUUUGAACCGCAUGGUUCAAAAGUGAAAGACGGUCUUGCUGUCACUUCUAGAUGGAUCCGCGCUGCAUUAGCUAGUUGGUAAGGUAACGGCUUACCAAGGCAACGAUGCAUAGCCGACCUGAGAGGGUGAUCGGCCACACUGGAACUGAGACACGGUCCAGACUACUACGGGAGGCAGCAGUAGGGAAUCUUCCGCAAUGGGCGAAAGCCUGACGGAGCAACGCCGCGUGAGUGAUGAAGGUCUUCGGAUCGUAAAACUCUGUUAUUAGGGAAGAACAGAUGUGUAAGUAACUGUGCACAUCUUGACGGUACCUAAUCAGAAAGCCACGGCUAACUACGUG
rnacentral:rRNA from 1 species